UCAAGCCAGCUGUGACUUCAAAGGGGCUGCUCUCCCACAGGACAGCGGGAAAGGGUUCCCCCUUCAGUGAAGAUCACAAAGUUCAGCCAAAGACAGUCCAAAGGGAGCGGAUCCAGGAAGAGGAGAGGAGAAUUAUAUUCAACACAGGAGAAGGAAUGCUUCCCUUCCCUGACACGGCUGUGACAGUCUGAAGAAAAAGGAAAAUGACAAGGAAGAAAGGUCAGUUCCCUUGACAGUGUCUCAGGAGUGAAAUAUAUGGCUUCUCAAAUAUUGUAUUCAAAUGUAUUGGAUACAAUACCUGAAAGCUAAAGGCCAGUAGCCAGGAGAAUCAGGAGAGAAUUGUUAAGAAGAAAAAUUGGCUAAAUGUUGUACUCUUCUUUUGCAGCCUAAACAGGAAAAAGAAUGUAUUUGCUAAGUAACAAUAGGGAGGGAAAAGCUUUCUUGUGAAGAACUCCGCCGCAUCCAGCACAUGCUCACGGAUGUCAAGAAUAAAAAGAAGGAGAAAAACUGCCUAUGGGACCACAGUGCUUUGCAACAAGCAAGCCCUCAGGGCUUUCAGCCCUCCAACCCAGGUUCACACCCCGCCUUCUUCCCAUGACUAGGAUAGCUCCUCUUCCCUACUUCAAAUUUGUGCUCCCAACUUGCCCUUAUAGCUCUCCUUUCCUUAAACUUGACAUAAAAGUAUUCCUGCCCCAAUCUCCCCAAAUCUCUCCUCUGUAUUAUCCCUAAAGACAAGCCCAUGAUACUUUUAAGAACUGCACAGCCAAUUACAAUAGAGGAACUAAAGGACAGAGAAAGGAUUCCUUACAUAGGUAAUGUGGACACAGGCUUAAUAUUUUGACUUUUAUCAAAUUCCAACACUCAUGCCAACAGCUGGCAUUUAUUGAGACAAAUUUAUUUAACUACAGAAGGGUUUAAUACCUACGGCCAAGGAGGAAGUGAGUGCCAUCAACAGGCACAGACUCCAGACCGCCUUAUAGAAAAUACCCGAUGCUCAGGUGAAGGAGAGGCUGCCAGACAACCUCUAGCCAUCAGCUCUUUCACAAUCUGCUCAGGUGUACACAAAUGCCACAACUUCCCAUGGAGGAUGACCAACUCACUCAGUUUGCAUUGGACUUCCUCGCAUCAAGUACUGCCUUCCAGGAUGGGUCUCUGGGUGAGAGCCUGAGCCCAUCAGCACGUUUUUCAAAGCAGAGAAUUUUGCCCUCCGUGUCUGACAAGGCUAACCACUGUGAAGUUCUUGGUCCACUGUCUAAAACAAAAGACUACACUGAUUCUGUUCACCCCUGCCCUUGCACACACCCCUGAACUGAGUACAGCUGCCCACAAAGCCCACUGAGAUUCUCUGACAAGAAAAUUAAUGUAAUAGAUUCCUCCUACAAACUCCUGGAACACUCUAUAGCUUUCUAAUGAUGCUCUCUGUGCUCCACACUUUUCUAACUAUUGCAAAACCGAUCUUUCCGUCUCUCCUGGAUUGUGAGCCUCAGACCCCAGACUAGUCACUGGUAUGUUUAAAUGUGAAGAGAGGAGCAGAAUGGUUUCAUACUGCAUCCACACUUCUCUUCCUUGUAUGCCCAUUAAAGCUGACAAGUCCUCCAAAUAUUCAGGGCUUAAGCCUGGGUGAAAAAUUGUGACAUCAAUACCUAAGUUUCCCAACAGCAUCUGAAAUCCUAAGACUUGUUUUGCUUAACUCUUAGGUUUGUUUGUGCAGUAAUAAAUCUGUUAAAUACUAAUUGUAAAAUCACUUUAGAAAUUAUGCAAGAGAUUGAACCUACAAAAGUUUCUGUGUCUUUGCUUAAAUACAGUCUAAGUUUGAAAUAAGCCAAAAUGUGUUGUAAAGGCUAUUUUAAAUUGUACAAAG